rnacentral:rRNA from 1 species
UGGUGGAGCGAUUUGUCUGGUCAAUUCCGAUAACGAACGAGACUCUAGCCUAACUAAAUAGUUCGGGGACCCCCACAAAGGGGCCCCGCUUCAACUUCUUAGAGGGACAGGUGGCGUUUAGCCACACGAGAUUGAGCAAUAACA